rnacentral:rRNA from 1 species
CACGUAGGGGGCGAGCGUUGUCCGGAUUUAUUGGGCGUAAAGCGCGCGUAGGUGGCCUCAUAAGUCCGCUGUGAAAGUCAAAGGCUCAACCUUUGAAAGCCGGUGGAUACUGUGAGGCUAGAGUACGGAAGAGGCGAGUGGAAUUCCUGGUGUAGCGGUGGAAUGCGCAGAUAUCAGGAGGAACACCAAUAGCGAAGGCAGCUCGCUGGGACGUUACUGACACUGAGGCGCGAAAGCUAGGGGAGCGAACAGG